rnacentral:rRNA from 1 species
AGCAGUAAGGAAUAUUGGGCAAUGGACGCAAGUCUGACCCAGCCAUGCCGCGUGAAGGAUGAAGGUCCUCUGGAUUGUAAACUUCUUUUAUCUGGGGCGAAAACAACUCUUUCUAGAGUUCUUGACAGUACCAGAGGAAUAAGCACCGGCUAACUCCGUGCCAGCAGCCGCGGUAAUACGGACGGUGCAAGCGUUAUCCGGAUUCACUGGGUUUAAAGGGUGCGUAGGCGGGCUAGUAAGUCAGUGGUGAAAUCCCCGAGCUUAACUUG